CCUACGGGUGGCAGCAGUAGGGAAUAUUGCUCAAUGGGGUAAACCCUGAAGCAGCAACGCCGCGUGGAGGAUGAAGGUUUUCGGAGUGUAAACUCCUUUUGUUAGAGAAGAUAAUGACGGUAUCUAACGAAUAAGCACCGGCUAACUCCGUGCCAGCAGCCGCGGUAAUACGGAGGGUGGAAGCGUUACUCGGAAUCACUGGGCGUAAAGAGCGCGUAGGCGGGAUAGCAAGGCAGAUGUGAAAUCCUAGGGCUUAACCAUAGAACUGCAUUUGAAACUGUUAUUCUAGAGUAUGGGAGAGGUAGGUGGAAUUCUUGGUGUAGGGGUAAAAUCCGUAGAGAUCAAGAGGAAUACUCAUUGCGAAGGCGACCUGCUAGAACAUAACUGACGCUGAUGCGCGAAAGCGUGGGGAGCAAACAGGAUUAGAUACCCCAGUAGUC
rnacentral:rRNA from 1 species